rnacentral:rRNA from 1 species
AACGAACGCUGGCGGCAGGCUUAACACAUGCAAGUCGAGCGCCCCGCAAGGGGAGCGGCAGACGGGUGAGUAACGCGUGGGAACGUACCCUUUGCUACGGAAUAGCUCCGGGAAACUGGAAUUAAUACCGUAUGUGCCCUACGGGGGAAAGAUUUAUCGGCAAAGGAUCGGCCCGCGUUGGAUUAGCUAGUUGGUGGGGUAAUGGCCUACCAAGGCGACGAUCCAUAGCUGGUCUGAGAGGAUGAUCAGCCACAUUGGGACUGAGACACGGCCCAAACUCCUACGGGAGGCAGCAGUGGGGAAUAUUGGACAAUGGGCGCAAGCCUGAUCCAGCCAUGCCGCGUGAGUGAUGAAGGCCUUAGGGUUGUAAAGCUCUUUUACCGGAGAAGAUAAUGACGGUAUCCAGAGAAGAAGCCCCGGCUAACUUCGUGCCAGCCGCCGCGGUAACAC